rnacentral:rRNA from 1 species
GGAUUAGAAACCCGGGUAGUCCACGCUGUAAACGAUGGAUGCUAGCUGUAUUCGGUAUCGACCCCGGAUGUAGCGAAGCUAACGCGUUAAGCAUCCCGCCUGUGGAGUACGGUCGCAAGACUAAAACAUAAAGGAAUUGACGGGGACCCGCACAAGCGGUGGAGCGUGUUGUUUAAUUCGAUGGUAAACGAAGAACCUUACCCAGGUUUGACAUCCUUGGAAUCUUUUCGAAAGAAAAGAGUGCUUUAUUGAGCCAAGUGACAGGUGAUGCAUGGCCGUCGUCAGCUCGUGUCGUGAGAUGUUUGGUUAAGUCCAUUAACGAGCGCAACCCUUGUGGCUAGUUGAAUUUUUCUAGUCAGACUGCCCUGGCAACAGGGAGGAAGGAGGGGAUGAU